GACGAACGCUGGCGGCGUGCCUAAUACAUGCAAGUUGAGCGCUGAAGGUUGGUACUUGUACCAACUGGAUGAGCAGCGAACGGGUGAGUAACGCGUGGGGAAUCUGCCUUUGAGCGGGGGACAACAUUUGGAAACGAAUGCUAAUACCGCAUAAAAACUUUAAACACAAGUUUUAAGUUUGAAAGAUGCAAUUGCAUCACUCAAAGAUGAUCCCGCGUUGUAUUAGCUAGUUGGUGAGGUAAAGGCUCACCAAGGCGAAGAUACAUAGCCGACCUGAGAGGGUGAACGGCCAAAUUGGGACUGGGACACGGCCCAAACUCCUACGGGAGGCAGCAGUAGGGAAUCUUCGGCAAUGGACGAAAGUCUGACCGAGCAACGCCGCGUGAGUGAAGAAGGUUUUCGGAUCGUAAAACUCUGUUGGUAGAGAAGAACGUUGGCGAGAGUGGAAAGCUCAUCAAGUGACGGUAACUACCCAGAAAGGGACGGCUAACUACGUG
rnacentral:rRNA from 1 species